GUCCACGGCUCUGAGCGGGGCGAGCAGCCCGGGGUCCAGGGACAGGAGCUGGUUCCUGGACACAUCCAGCACCUCCAAGGCAGCAGGCAGGUCGCCCCGGGACAGCGUGCUCAGCCUGUUGGCGCUCAGGUCGAGGCCCCUCAGCGCCGUGAGGUCCCGCAGCAGCCCCGGCGGGAGGGCGGCCAGGUAGUUGUGGUUCAGGUGCAGCACCCGGAGCCGGGGCAGCCCCCGGAACACGUCCCAGCACCGCCCGGUCUCCCAGGCCAGCUGCAGCAUGUUGCUCCCGAGGAAGAGCCUCUCUGGGCCGACGCUGCCCGUGGGGCCGUGUCCGCCACGGCACGCGGACAGGCGGUUGCGGUUGAGGAUGAGGACCUGCAGGGCAGGGACCCGGAGGAGCGAGUAGAGGUCGCCCAGGUCCUCCAGCCUGUUGUCCGACAGCUCCAGGAAGCUGGCUGUGAGGUCCAUGUGGGACACGGUCUCCAGCUUGUUGUUGCCCAGGAAGAUGGUGUCUAUGCUGGGCACGAAGGAAACGGUUUUGAGGGCGUUGUCGCGGAGAUCCAGGGUCCGAAGCGCCCCCAGGAAUCUGAACGUCUGGUCCUGGAUGAUCCCGAUGUGAUUGUGCUGCAGGUCAAUGUAGGCGACCUCCGCGAGCCCCGAGAAGUCAGAGUCAUAGAGCUCGCCCAGGAGAUUGUGCGACAGGUUGAGAACCUGGACGCUGCCGAGGCCGUGAAACGCUUCUCCCGCGAUCCUGUUGAUCUUGUUGUGGGCGAGGUCCAGGAGCUUCAGGUCCCCGAGCACCUCGAACAGUCGGGCGUUCAGGGAGAAGACGAAGCCGUGCGACAGAUCCAGCCGCAGCACCGAGCUCCCGGCCAGCCCCGCGAACGUGCUCCGGUCAGGGUCCCGGAUGUUCCGGAAGCCAAACCCCUGCCCCAUGAUGUGGUGGGCGAGCACCAAGGAGGAGAUCUGGCUCCCACCGAUGGCCCUGGUGACGUUGCCCGUGACGUCUGCGGUCCAGCCGUUGUUAGACACGUCCAGGGUCUCCAGGACCACGUUCCUGAACGGGUUCCCGCACCGCCCCCAGUCCACGGGGGCCCGGCUGUACAGGCCAUUGGCCGCGAGGUUCAGAAGGGAGAGCGCCUUGCCCUGCAGGGGCCUGAGCCCCUGCUCACACGCAGCCGGGAUCCGGUUGAGGGAAAAGUCCACGGACCUCAGGGAACCCAGCUCCCGGAAGGAGGCGUGAAGCUCGAGGCUCCCAAUCUGAUUUUUGGACAGGUCCAGGCGCGACAAAGCCCCCAGGUUUCUGAAAUAACCGUCUGUCAACACGACGUCGGAGAGGCCACAGGCGAACAGCCGGAGUUCCUGCAGGUGGGGCAGCCCCUGGAAGGCGUCGGGAUGCAGGAAAUCCACCCGGCUGUUGCCCAGGUCCAGGGUGCGCAGGUUGGGCAGGUUCCUGAAGGCUUCUCUGUCGACGCUGAAGGGCGUCUGCUGCGUCCCCAGCUCCAGCAGCUGCAGCCGCUCCAGGAGGGGGAACGAGGCGCGGGUGACGGCCCGGAUGUAGUUGAAGCUCAGCAGGAGGAUCUCGGUGGUGCUGGGGACCGGGGGCACCUGGCUGAGGUUGCAGGAGCGGUACAGGGCCCUCCGGCCGUCAGCCACGCAGCAGGAUGCCGCGGCCACGGCGCCGGCCACAAGCAGCAGCCCCAGUGCGCGGCCCAGCUGGCGGCCCAUGAUCCUGCGGGACGGAAACACAGCCGUGCAAGCCCAACGCCACCCCGGGGCCCAGGACGGGGGCCCCUGGACGGGCACCUGCCUCCCCCCACACGUGCGCCCGGCGGGACGCGCACUCAGCGCCGUGCUGGGUCCUUGAGAAACACUUACCUUGAGGAGAGUCUGUUUGCCGUCACUCAAUCGGGAUGCGUGCAGGGCGUCGGGGAAAAUGGCAGGCGGAGGAUACUGGUGCCGCCCCCGCCCAGUGCCGGGGGCCCGCCCCUCCGCCCCCUGCGCGCUCCACACACGGCCCGGGUCAGCACGCACACGCUGGUCCUUCGGGCCACCAUCCGCGAAGCGCCCAGCCUGACGGGUCAGUGCAUCCCCCUCCCACCCCCUGCCCAGGCCUGUGGGGGCGAGCGCGGCGCGGCUCAGGGCGCCCGUCAUCUGGACAAGUGCCACACGUCCGCUCUGUGCACAGGGUGCAGCAGGGGCUGGACACACGGGCCAGCUGGGGCGCACGUCCUGGGGCAGGCGGCAGCGGCCAGAGUGGCCAGGAAGGCCCCCGAUGACUCGAUGACAUCCAGGGGCCCCAGGGAUGCAAAGGAAGGAGGCCCAGCGGGGAGGCGGGGGGUGCAACACGGGGGCUCCGGCCGCCUCUCCACGCACUUCCAGGGCUGGGACUUGGCACGUGCUGCUUCCUCUGCACGCACGCUCUCCUCCCAUGGCUCCGUGGCUCGUCGCUGA
rnacentral:lncRNA from 1 species